rnacentral:lncRNA from 1 species
CAAUGUAAAAUAGAUAUGAUAUAAAUGUUUGGCUCAAAAUGGCAUGUCAUUAUCCACUAUUAUUCGAAGCAAGAAUUUAAAAAAUUUAGAAAAUCGUAAAGAAGACUAAGAGGGGUCCGGCACAAAGCAAUAUCGUAAUGUAUGUCACAUACACAAUGUUAAGCCUUUAUAGAGUGUGAAGAACAGAAAUUCACAAACACAUCGCUGCAACUCGGCUUCUGUAUUUUAUUUCUACUUUAUACUGCAAUUCCUUUUCUUAGACGAAUUAGCAUAAUGGGGGCAAGGUAAAAUCUAGAUCAACAUGUUCUAUUAUUGGUUGCUACAAGCUGCAGGGUAUCCAAGUAGCUGAGAACAAAAAUAACAAUCAGAACAUGAGAAAACAGAUCAGCCAGGCUGGUUAGCAUGCUCUGUUCAAGAUCUCCAAUGUUUUUAUUGUUUGUAAAAUAUUUGACAAAUCUGAUCAUUGUAGCAUUGAAGACCAAUGAAAUGAAUUAUAGUGAAACACUGCAAUUUAUCUCUCGGCCAAUUUGGCUUUGCCACCAGACCCUGAGGAAUGCAUUGUCAAACCAGUGAUUAUUAGCCAUAAGAAGCUUACAGUUAGAUAGCAGGCUUUGUGUGUUUGUUAUUUUCAAGCACCAGUCCGUUCUCAGGAAGAGGCCCCUUAAACUGCUGGAGGCAAGAGCAAGUGCUUAACCCCUAUUAAAAGGAUAGCAAAUUAGCAAUAUUAACCAUUGUUGGAAACUUGGGAUAUGAGGAGACCAUAAUUUGUGUAACUAAAAUUGAUACGCAAAAAAAAAUACUAAGUUGUAUAAAAAAAAAUUGGUAUCUAAAAUAUAAAUUAAAAGAUGAGGCAAAACCUUUAAAAACUGUACAUAUGGAACUAUUCCAACUGAGAAAAGGUUUUGCAUAGUCAUGGCUGGGAUUACGAAUUUACGAAGACCCAGCCAGGACAGCCUCCGGCCGGCCCAUC